UUUGUAUCUAACGGUAUACGUUAUAAUCUUACUCGUUUGGUGUUUCGUUGAGGCAGAUCUAGAUUGUUCAAGUUCAAAUAUCGCCCAACUCAUGUUUCUUUGUCGAAUUGCUAACAAUAAUGGAUACAUUUCACUGCAUCAUAGGAUGAUACAUGCAAAUAAUCUUAUCAGUUGUUACAUUUACCAAAUUCCAAUGGGAAGUGUAAUGAAUUUCCUUUUUUGGUUAAGUCCUCUUCUUCAACAUGCGUCAACAUGAAAAAGUACAACAUUCACCUUGUCUCAAUUUCAAAAGAAAAUACAUUUCAACAUUCGGUUCCAAAAUUCAGGAGAAUUCAACAACAAAAUAUACGUAAAGAUUGGUCAUGGUGCAGCUGAAGCUGUGAAAAAACUAUUGAUCAAUCAAAAGUUAGGAUUGGGUCAACUAUCAGUUUUUAUUCAAUCUAAAUUUCAUAUGAUAAACGGUUUAGAUUACUACUUAUUAUAACAAAGACAAUGAAAUUUUAGAUUAACAAA